AACCUGUGGCGCGCUCCGCGGUUCCGGCGCCUGAAGUUUUAGCUGCGGUGGCGGCGGCAGUCGGGACCGACUGCAAGAUGUCAUUUGUCAGAGUGAACCGCUGUGGUCCCCGAGUUGGUGUAAGAAAGACACCGAAAGUAAAGAAGAAGAAAACUUCAGUGAAACAAGAAUGGGAUAAUACCGUGACUGAUCUAACCGUUCAUCGGGCAACUCCCGAAGAUCUGGUACGCCGUCAUGAAAUACACAAAUCGAAGAAUAGAGCAUUAGUACACUGGGAACUCCAAGAAAAAGCUUUGAAGAGAAAAUGGAGGAAGCAGAAACCAGAAACUUUAAAUCUUGAGAAAAGAAGAUUGUCUAUCAUGAAGGAGAUUCUUUCUGAUCAAUACCAGAUGCAAGAUGUGUUGGAGAAAUCUGAUCAUCUAAUAGCUGCAGCAAAAGAGCUGUUUCCUCGUAGGCGCACAGGGUUUCCAAAUGUAACAGUGGCUCCUGAUUCCUCUCAGGGUCCCAUUGUGGUAAAUCAAGACCCUAUCACCCAAUCUAUCUUUAAUGAGUCUGUCAUAGAACCUCAGGCUCUUAAUGAUGUAGAUGGUGAAGAAGAAGGAACUGUUAAUAGCCAGUCAGGAGAAAGUGAGAAUGAGAAUGAGUUGGAUAACUCUCUAAACUCUCAGUCUAACACGAAUACAGACAGGUUUCUCCAACAACUAACAGAAGAGAAUUUUGAGUUAAUUAGUAAGUUGUGGACUGACAUUCAGCAGAAAAUAGCAACCCAGUCACAAAUAACUCCUCCAGGAACGCCAUCAUCUGCUCUUUCAUCAGGGGAGCAAAGAGCUGCUCUGAAUGCUACCAAUGCUGUCAAGAGACUCCAAACCAGGCUUCAGCCUGAAGAAUCUACUGAGACUCUAGACUCAAGCUACGUUGUGGGACACGUGCUGAACUCAAGGAAGCAAAAACAGCUGUUAAAUAAAGUGAAAAGGAAACCGAAUUUGCAUGCUCUUUCCAAGCCGAAGAAAAACAUAUCAUCAGGUAGCACAACCUCUGCAGACUUACCAAAUAGGACUAAUUCCAACCUGGAUGUCCUCAAACACAUGAUACAUGAAGUGGAACAUGAAAUGGAAGAAUAUGAGCGGUGGACAGGUCGCGAGGUCAAGGGUCUGCAGAGCAGUCAGGGUCUUACAGGCUUCACUUUGUCGCUGGUGAGCUCCCUCUGUCGCCUGGUUCGGUACCUUAAAGAGAGUGAGAUCCAGCUACGUAAAGAAGUAGAGACAAGGCAACAACUGGAACAAGUAUUAGGUGAUCAUCGAGAGCUCAUUGAUGCUCUGACAGCUGAAAUUCUUCGUCUUAGAGAAGAAAACGCUGCUACACAGGCAAGACUUCAGCAGUACAUGGUCACAACAGAUGAGCAACUGAUAUCACUCACACAUGCUAUUAAGAACUGUCCUGUGAUAAAUAACAGACAAGAAAUUCAGGCAUCAGAAAGCGGAGCCACAGGUAGAAGAGUUAUGGACAGUCCAGAGCGUCCAGUUGUAAAUGCCAAUGUCUCAGUGCCAUUGAUGUUCAGAGAGGAAGUGGCUGAAUUCCCACAGGAAGAGUUGCCCGUUAAACUGUCUCAGGUGCCAGACCCUCCAGAUAACAUGAAUCUGGCCAAGAAUUUUCCAGCACAUAUUUUUGAGCCAGCUGUGUUGUUAACACCACCCAGGCAGAAGAGCAACUUAAAAUUCUCUCCUCUUCAGGACGUAUUGAGAAGGACUGUUCAAACUCGUCCUGCUCCACGACUUCCUCCAACUGUGGAAAUAAUUGAGAAGGAACAAAAUUGGGAAGAGAAGACCUUACCUAUUGAUACAGACAUUCAGAAUUCAAGUGAAGAGAAUCGUCUCUUCACUCAGAGAUGGAGAGUCUCUCACAUGGGAGAAGAUUUGGAGAACAAAACUCAGGCUCCUUUUGUUAACCUCUCACAGCCCCUCUGCAAUUCCCAUUCCAACACUCAACAGUCAAGAAGCCCCACAUUCUCAGAAGAGCUCCCAGUACUGGGAGAUGGGCAGCAGCUGAGAACAAAUGAGUCAUUAAUACAAAGAAAGGACAUAAUGACACGAAUUGCUGAUUUGACAUUGCAGAAUUCAGCUAUCAAGGCACAUAUGAAUAAUAUUAUUGAGCCCAGAGGAGAGCAAGGGGAUGGACUCCGGGAGUUGAACAAACAAGAAAGUGCAAGUGACAUGACUUCUACUUUUCCAGUAGCACAGUCUCUAACACCAGGUAGUAUGGAGGAACGGAUUGCAGAAUUGAAUCGACAAAGUAUGGAGGCUCGUGGAAAACUACUGCAGUUGAUAGAGCAGCAGAAACUUGUUGGUUUGAAUCUUUCUCCACCAAUGUCACCUGUUCAGUUACCUCUCAGAGCAUGGACUGAAGGAGCAAAGAGGACAAUUGAGGUAUCUAUUCCAGGAGCAGAAGCCCCAGAAAGCUCAAAAUGUAGUACUGUCUCUCCCGUCAGCGGGAUAAAUACAAGAAGAUCUUCCGGGGCUACUGGUAAUUCUUGUUCUCCACUAAAUGCCACCUCAGGAAGUGGGAGAUUCACACCUCUUAAUCCAAGAGCAAAGAUUGAGAAACAGAAUGAAGAAGGCUGGUUUGCUCUUUCUACCCAUGUAUCAUAAGUGAAGUCAAGUCUCACUGAGUUUGUUCUUAAUAAUUUAUUACUUCCCUUUCCCUGCUCUGACUUUUAAGUUUUUAUAUCCUUCUUUCAGAUAAAACCUACAAAGAUCCUGUGAAUUAGUACUAAUGAAACAGAGAAAUAAAGCAAUUAUUUUUUGACUUUCUCAAAUAAGUUUUCAACAACCAACUGACCUACAGCUCCCUGUGAAUGAAACUUUGACUGUAGAGAAGUUAAAGUUUUGUAUUUUAAUACUUUCUUAAGUAUUUUAAGGGUUUUUUUUAUUAAUACAUUUUUACCUUUAUCUUUAUUCAGGGUUUUUUGAGGUUUAGUAUAUCUUAGUUGAUCCAUUUAUUUAUUUAUUUUCCUGAAGAACUAAUUUGCUUUGCAUGUAACUUACAAUAAAAUUCCUCUGUGUGAUUAGAGUCUGGCUUUCAGGAAUAUGUAACACCCACUUUUCUUUCUUUUUUCUUGGGAAGUCAUUGCUGUUCAUCACUUUUUCCAUCAAGUGAAAUAUACAGCCUUAAAAACAAUAGGCCUGGGAGUGUUUGUUUAUAUUUGCUUAAGCAGUGUCAUGAGGCGGAGAAGGCCCGACCAAAGGGCGGAUAGGUACCGGGUUCCCGGAGAGCUGGACGCCGGCCGCGCAUGCGCCCCACGGCCCGCCCUGGUUCCGCCUCCCUGGAAGAGGGGUGGCGUUGUCUCGGUAACCGGAGUAAACGGAGGCCUCCGGCAGACGCUGUGAAGAGAGGAGCCGCGGCGGUCAGUACCUUCGAGGAAAUGAAGGAACCAGAUGAUCAGGAUACUGAUGGGGAGAAAUCAGUUACAUCAAAGAGUGAUGGGAAGAAGUCUCUGAGGUCUUCUAAAUCAGAAUCAAGAUCUCCUGUUCAAGAAGAUAACACAUUUUUAGAAGAUGACACAGAUGAAACAUUUACCAAAGGGGAAGGAUCAUAUUUAGAAGAAGACUCAGAUGAGGAACGUUUGGAAGGAAGUUUGAGUUCAUUUCAGUAUGGUGAUUUGCAAAGCACUACAGUACCUCAGCAAACCCCUGCUCCAGCUGUGGAAGAAGCAGAGGAGGAAGUUAAGAAGAAAAUAUCAGAGAGCUUCUUCUAUGAUUAUAUGGAGCUUGCUUCGAUGCCUUUUGUGACUCUGGAUUCAAACAUACCACUGGAUCUUCUCACACUUGUACAUUCUUUUGGUUAUGACUGUAGAAAGCGAGCCAACCUACAACUUCUGGACGACAGUAUCGCCAUAUACAUAGCUGGGAACCAACUGAUCUUUCUGAAUUUGAAAACCAAGGAACAGAUCUACCUGCGAAGUAGCAGUGGUGAAGGAAUUGGCGUCAUUGGGGUUCAUCCACAUAAAACUUAUUUCACAGUAGCUGAAAAAGGGAGUUUUCCAGAUAUUAUCAUCUAUGAAUAUCCUUCUCUGAGACCAUACAGAGUCCUUCGAGGUUCUGGGAAAUGGCUUUUACGUUCACCGGUCUCAAGCUGCAGGGAUCACUAGGUCGAUUUGGCAAAACAAUCACUACUGAUAUAGAAGGCUACAUGGAGCUCCCAGAUGGGAAGGUGCUCUCAGGGUCAGAAUGGGGCAACAUGCUGCUUUGGGAAGGUGGUCUGAUCAAAGUGGAGCUCUGUCGAGGGACAAGCAAGUCAUGUCACAAUGGUCCCAUUAACCAGAUAAUGCUGUAUGAGGGUGAAGUUAUCACUGUUGGGUCAGAUGGAUAUGUUAGGAUAUGGGAUUUUGAGACAAUAGACACUGCUGAUGUAAUAGAUGAGACUGGAUUGUUGGAGAUUGAGCCUAUUAAUGAACUUCAAGUAGACAAGAAUGUGAAUCUCUUCUCUAUGAUAAAAAUGAAUGAAACUGGAAAUAACUUUUGGUUGGCUCAGGAUGCCAAUGGAGCCAUAUGGAAGCUUGACCUUAGUUUUUCAAAUAUUACCCAGGACCCAGAAUGCCUCUUCUCCUUCCAUUCUGGAGCUAUUGAAGCCGUGGCUGUUUCUCCUCUCACUUAUCUCAUGGCCACAACUGCCUUGGACUGCUCUGUUCGAAUCUAUGAUUUUGCUAGCAAAACUCCUUUGGCCCAGAUGAAAUUCAAACAAGGAGGUACUGCCCUUGUUUGGGUACCCCGAAUGCCUGAAAGUACUUUACUAAUUAUCUGUGAAAAUGGCUAUAUUCUUGAAGCUCCACUUCCAACCAUAAAGCAAGAAGAGGAUGAUCAUGAUGUAGUCUCCUAUGAAAUCAAAGACAUGUGCAUAAAAUGUUUCCAUUUUUCAAGUGUCAAAUCUAAGAUUCUGAGAUUAAUAGAAAUUGAAAAGAGGGAGAGACAAAGGGAGUUGAAGGAGAAAAUAAGGGAAGAAAGGAGGAACAAGCUAGCAGCAGAGAUGGGAGAAGAUGGAGAAAAAGAAUUUCAGGAGGAGGAAGAGGAGAAAGAGGAGGAGGAGGAGGAAGAAGAGCCAUUACCUGAAAUAUUUAUUCCGUCAACCCCCUCUCCCAUCCUCUGUGGAUUUUACUCAGAGCCAGGGAAGUUCUGGGUUUCUUUGCAUUAACAAAGUUAUGAUGUUUUGUGGAAUGAAAAAUGGAGCAAUUCGAGUCUAUGUCCUAAAUCAAAAUGAUCCUUCAUUGACCAGUUUGGUGGACUACUGGCACUUCAAUAUGCAUGACAAUAAUUAUGGAUGUAUUAAAAGUAUUGCUAAUAGCUUUGAUGAUCGUUUCUUGGUGACUGCUGGAGCAGAUGGCAAUAUCUUUGUUUUCAACAUUUUUUCUGAAUUUAUGCUAAGGAAAGACAUGAAGGCCAAAGUUCCAUCUCCCAGGUUUGGAAUUGAAACAGAGCCAAUUCCAGAAGACAUUGAAGAUCCCAAAGCCUACAGUAUCGAGAAUGCUAGGAGAAAAAGAGAACAUGACAAGUUAAUGAAAGAAGUGGGAGAAAUAAAGGCACGGAAGAGAGAGCAAAUCAAAGCUUUGAGGAGUGAAUUUUGUAAUCUAUUAGAAAUGAAUGAAAAAUUACCAAAGCAUAUGCAGUUUAAACGAACAGAUUUUGAUGUAGAUUCCCAAAUCCGUGCUGAGAUGCACAGAAAAACAGCUUUCAAAAUUCAACAAGUGGAAAAGGAAUUAGCUUGGGAAAAAGAGAAACAUGAACUCGGCCUAAUGAAGCUAAAGAAUCGGUGGGAGUGUUACCAUACAAGAAGAAUCAAUAAUAGAAAAAGGGAAGAAAUUUCGGCCUAAAACCCUAAGUGAAAUCAUCGUGGAAAAUCAAAUUGAGAAAACGAGAAAACUUAUAUUAAAAGCUGAAAGGGCACAACUAAAGAUUCAACAGCGAAAAAAAGAAUGGGAGGAACUAUACAAGAGUAAACCUGGUGAUGACUAUGAAGAUCCCAAAGAUCUUCAAGCCAUCAAAGAAGCCCAGGUGUAUAUGGGAGAUUUCAAUCUGAAGACAGCCCCAGACUACAAGAUACCUGAGCACAUGAGAAUAAAUGCUGCCAAGAAGGAAGAGGAACUAGGACACCUAGAUUCUUUGGUCCAUGGAAAUAAAAGGCACAUGAACAAGUGCAUUCUCUCUCUUAGAGACCUUAAAGUGGCUGUUGUUGAGGAAAUACAGUGCCUGGUACAAGAACUGAAGAACAUUCAGUCGACUCUUCACAUAUCCAAGCACAUACCCAUUCCCAAAAUUCCUCAGAUACACCCAGAAGAAGUUCCAGAAAAGAGAUUUCAGUAUGAUGAAGAAACUCUCCUAAAUUUUAAGCAACAGCAAAUGAAAAGUAAAGAUGAAAAGUCCCCCGGAGUGGAACAGACAGGGUCUGGAGGCCCAGUUGGAGGAUUCCUCAAACUCUCUUCUAGAAAGGAUGGGGAUUUGACAACCCGUGAUUCAAUAUCUAGAUCAUCAAAGGCAUCAACAUUCAGCCUAGAUAUACCAAAGUGUUUGGAAUUUGAAAAAGCAGAGCCAACGGAUGUGGAGCUGGAAAUUAUGAAGAGAGACGAGAUUAAACACGUGUACAUGCAACAGUAUUUGGUCAACAGGAUCAAAGAACUGGUUGUCACUUUCGAUGCAGAACUCCGUCUCCUUAGACAUCAGAAACUAAAACUAGAUACUCAGAUGAAAUUAUCUGACCUGCACCAUGUCACCUUAUUUCAAGAAAUACUUCUCCUGAAGAAUUUUGAAAAACAGGAGAACAUACUUCAAGAACGUGUUAAUUCCUUAGACAAAGAGGAACAGUACAUGCAAUGGAAAAUAAAUGAAACUCUUAAAGAGAUGGAAGAGAAAAAGAAUGAAAUCACCAAACUCCAGGAGCAAGAAAAGGCACUCUAUGCUGGUUUUCAAGCAGCCAUUGGAGAAAACAAUAAAUUUGCAAACUUCCUCAUGAAGGUCCUAAAGAAGAAGAUUAAACGGGUAAAGAAAAAAGAAGUUGAAGGAGAUGCUGAUGAAGAUGAGGAGAGUGAGGAAUCAAGUGAAGAAGAAUCUAGCUUGGAGAGUGAUGAAGAUGAGUCUGAAUCAGAAGAUGAGGUUUUUGAUGAUUCUAUUUGCCCAACAAAUUGUGAUGUGGCUCUUUUUGAGCUGGCCCUUCACCUUCGAGAGAAAAGGCUGGACAUUGAGGAGGCUUUAGUUGAAGAAAAGAAAAUUGUUGAUAACCUCAAAAAGGAAUAUGAUACAUUGUCAAAAAAAGUGAAAAUUGUGGCAACUAAUCUGAAUGCAGCAGAGGAGGCCCUGGAGGCUUAUCAGCGAGAGAAGCAGCAGCGGCUGAAUGAACUGCUAGUUGUGAUUCCGCUCAAGCUCCACCAGAUAGAGUAUGUGGUAUUUGGAGAAAUACCUAGCGAUCUUUCUGGUACUUUGGUCUUCUCUAACCAUGCCUUGAGACGGCUGCAAGAACGAAUCCAUGAGCUCCAGGAGGAAAAUUCCAAGCAGCAAAAACUUAACAAAGAAUGGAGAGAGAGACGUAAACAGCUCAUCCGAGAAAAGAGAGAAAUGACAAAAACCAUACACAAUCCAAUGGGGAAGAAGAGGAGAGCCUAGAACAUGAGGGUGAGAAGGAAUAAGUUCUCUCCAUUCUAGGGAGAGCACAGCUCACAGCCAUGGGGAAGAAAUGGAGGAAACAGUCCGGCAGCUCAUGAUCAGCAAGUUUGGCCGUGUGGUAAAUCUAGAAGCCCUUCAAACGCUUUCUGUUAAUACAACACUUGAAGAACUGAAGAUCAGAAAACUUCGAAAGGAGCUAGCAAAUGCGAAAGAGAUGAAGAUGUGGGAGGAAAAGAUUGCUCAAAUGCGAUGGGAACUGAUGAUGAAGACAAAAGAACACACCAGAAAGCUUUAUCAGAUGAAUGAUUUGUGUAUUGAAAAGAAGAAACUUGAUUCUCGGUUGAAUACACUACAGAAUCAGCAGGGCAAUGCCUUCCAGGGCCCUCGGGAAGCAGAUGUUGUGGCAAGAGAGGAGGUCACUGAAUUGAUCCAACUCCAGGCGGAAAGGAUUUCGGCCUUAAAGGAGGAGAUUGCUCUUUUGCGUAGGAAAGGCAGUCUUAUCCUCCCACCCAUUCAGUCUCCACGAGAGAAAGAGAUACAGCCCGCAGACCUUUGAGUUUGCUAUUUUCUCAAACCCAUACAAGAUUUCUGACAUAACUCACUGGAAGUUCUGUCUCCUCAUCACCUCCAACAAUCUUAUUACUUUAAACUGAACUCGCCUGAAAGUGUAAAACCAGAUCCAGUCACGUUAAGUCACUUUAAGAAUCUCUCUACAAUUUGGUUAUCUUAGAACUGACUGCAGCACCCAACCUCUGUUAUGAAACUGAAUCAUUUUAGAUGUUUCGAACCUACUAGAUUGAAUAUGAAGUCUCGGAAGGCUGUGUUUCAUGAUUGCAGCAAAUCACCUGUAAUAUAUUUUGUUUUAGGAAAAUUUGAUUUGGGGGUAUCCUGAAUUUUUAGCCCUUGGCAAGAAAAACUAUCAUUCAGCAAUUCAUGAGAAAACUUUGUUUUCUUGAUCCUUAGAAAAUAAACUUAGAUGUUAUUAAGUGUUCUCUGAGAGGAUGCAGGAGAAAAGGACAUUUUGUCAGCUAUAUCUUAGAAUAGAAAUGCAAAUUUCAGUUUUGGCAUUGUUGACUUCAUAAAGCAGUGUUUUGAGGGCUCAGGAUUCAGGAAAUACAAACAGACAUGGCAGAGCAGUUUGCUUUGGGUUGGCAGAAAGCAGGAAAAUAACCAGCCUUCUUGGAUUGCCCACAGUUUUUGUAGACUCCUCAGUUCUGAGUGGAGCAGAGGGGCAUGCUUAAUAAAACAGUCAAUAAAGAGGCUUUUCUUUAAAGAUUUCUGCAACUCCGUCAGAAUUCUAAGUUUUCCCCAUAGUUUCUCAUGUCCCCUGCCAUUUUCUUUCAGGUUUUACUUGGGCCAUUUGCUGGUUUUGAUAUAGAUGAGGAGAUAAUGAAAUAGAUUUACUAGAGAUCAUCUUUAACAAUCACCUUUGAUUAUGCAUAACAUUUUAAACUAAUUGAAGAGUAUCCUUUUGGUUUGGGGGUAAGUGCUCAUUGAAGUUCAUGGCUAUAACCAUUGCAGGAUAAUCUCACUGACAUUUGGAAUCCUGUUAGUAACAGAGCAUAGCUCUUUAGAUUAAGAGCUCUGUAUUAACGAGCUACUCAUUGAGGCUGUUCCAGGAUAAGCUGGUCACUGAGAAGGGCGGGUGAAGAAAGGAACAUUGCAUAAAUGUAGAAGGGAACUCAGCAAUGCCAAGUCUUCCUCACCUGUGAUUAGCCUGCUAAUGUGCCCCCCAAAAUUACAGACAGGUCUUGCUUUCUUUGUACAUCAGCAUAUUCUUAGAGGUGGCCACUUGGCCUAUUGUCUUCCUAAGAUUCCUUCAUAUUCCUAUUUAAGAGGUCAGAAUACCUUAUUGUUUGCACUUGUCACCAUUAAUUUCUGAUGUAGUCACUUCUCUACUGGAGAGCACCCACUUUUUUUUUUAAAUCACUUUCUGUGUUGUAUAUCCUAAGCCAUGUGUGCCUUUCAAGUAUUUUUAAAAAUAUGCUAGUCAUAGCCCUGAGUGUCUUAUUUAUUGCGGUAAAAAAUUACCCCCAAACUUAGCUUGAAACAACAAACUUGUGAUCUCACCCAGGAGUGAGAGGGUUUCUGAGGUCCAGGAAUCUGGGGACAGCUUGGCCGGGUGUUCUGGCUCAGGGUCUUUCGUGGAGUUGCAGUCACACUAGGAGCUGGGGCUGCAGCCAUCUGAAGCUUGGCUGGAGCUGGAGGGGCUAUUAGCAAAUUCACUCCCUUGGCCAUUAGGCAGGGCUUCAGUUCCUCGCCAUGUGGGCCUCUCCAUAGGGCCGCUUGGGAUAUGACUUCUCCCAGAGCAAGUGAUCCAAGAGUGAGGGAGACAGCAAGAGAGAAUGAUGUAUACAAGAGCCACAGUCUUUUACAGCCCAAGCUCAGAAGUGACAUAGCGUCACUAUUGUCAUAUGGGUCACAGGCUGACCCUGUGUGAUGUGGGAGGGGACUGAACAGGGUGUGAAUGCCAGGUGGGGGUCACCGGGGCCUUCGUGGGAGCUGGCAGCCACAAGAAGCAGCUGCCUGGAGAGAGUGGCUGGUCUCUGAGAAAGGUCUUGAGGCGAUACCAUCCCCUUGGUAAUUGUAGAGAAUCAGGAGAAGUUACGUUAUCUUCCUGGGCCUCAUUUUAUUAUCUGACAAAUGAAGGAUUGGUAGAAUGGGUUCCUUCCCAUUCUGAGAUUCUGAUUCUGAUUGCAGCAAGAAUGGACCUACAGUCUACAGAAGAGCCACAUCAGGACUUGCUGUGCAUUUCAACUGAGAGGAAAGCUAAUCGGGAUAAUUAUUCCCAAACUGAGCUGGACUAAAUCACUAGUUAAUUCUACAAUAUUCAGGGCUUCAUUCCGCAUGUUUGGGAAUUGACGACAGUUAACACUGAAUUACUUUAUUUUGAAUUGGACAAAAUAUGUUGAUAGCUUUAGGUUCAUUUCAACUUGAUUCCAGGCUUAGUCUUAAAUCUGUAGUUAAGUUAGAGCAUCUGAGUCUUUGGGAAGUUAAGCUUCAAACACAAGUAGACCAGCAGGGUGUGGCAUGGGCAGGGUGGCUGGGAAGCUAUCCUGCUCCUGGCACACUUCCCUGCCUUCUGCUGUGCUCCCAGAGGAGCAGCCUCACCUCUGAGGGUAAGGCCAAAAAUCAGCCUACACUGAGUUACUUGUGGGUCAAUUGUUCAUAUAACUUGGCUCUUCUGAACUGUCAUCCAUAGUAUCACCGAUGAUCAAUCUCAGCAUUGGAAGAAAAAGAAACCACAGAGUCCAGCCCCUCUGUCACAACUUCAGAGUAAAGGAGUUGCUCAUGCCUGCCAGCCAGCCUGUCCCACCACAGCGGGCUCCCCAGCUUAGGGAGGUCUGUGAGCCAUGUGCUAAAUUUCUCUUUAGAGCUAAAUCCAUUGAGUGCUAUGAUUCCAGUGCUGUGCAGAAAGCAGAUGUUUCACCUAUCACUUCAGAAAAGUUCACCAGACUUCAUUUUGACAGCUACCUUAGAUCAUCAAGGAGAAAAAGGAAAAAAUGUAAAAACCAGUGGGGCUAGAAGGUGAGUUACAGCUCAGAUUGGGGGGCCUCUGGAUAGCAAAGCAAUGACUGAGAGCGUCAGCCCUACCCACCCCAGAAGUGAGCUCUGGGCCGUGAUGCCAGGUUGUCUGAAAUCACAGUAUCUUAUUUUUUCUCUUCUCUUCCCUGCUCUGCUUCUCAUUUCCUAACAUUUACCUGUUCCUUACAGUCCUUCCUUUUAAAUAAUAUUUUUAAAAUACUGCUUUCCUGAAAACCAUGCUGCACUUCCACAUGAAGUUCUCUCUGACGUUGAGCUUGAUGGAAAAAGGAUGCAGAAGUCAGGAAUAGCAGGUGCUAUACUUAUUUUGGCCAGCAGAGGAUGCACUUGCCCUAAACAGUCAGAGUGACUCUUCCCUAGGACCCUGUUUAUCAAAUUCUUCAUGUUUAAAAGCCAGGGUCUGGCCCCCCACUUAACGAGAUUGUCUCAAGUGGCAUUUCAUCUGUAACUCAAUUUUACAGAAAUCUAGAAAAUACAGGCUCCCCCCACCCUCUCCAGCCCCAAAACACAAAGCGUAGUAAGGCUUUCAUUGCAAGCAUCAGUCUCCAUCUAAUUCCACUUCCACAUAUAAAGAUUUUAAAAUUUCAAUUAAAAAAGAAUCUAUGGUUGAUCCUUUGGUUGGACAACAGUAAGUAAAUGUUGAUUUUAAACUAGUGAGUCAACUACUCUGGCAAUGUUGGUGUAUCUUUGGAAAGAAGGGAAGUGAAUUUAUUAUGCACCAUAUGUCCAUGUGUGGCACAGCACUUAGCUAAACAGUAUUUUGGAGAAAAUAUUUGGUCUUCAACACACACCUAUAUAAAAAAGAUUAGUUCUAUUUCUUCAAUAUGACCUAAACUUCAUCUCAAGUCCAGUUGGUAAGAGAACUAUGAACCUGUUUUUCCUGGUCUGUUGUACAACGGUUCCCUUGUGGACUAAACGGUAAUGUGUUCUGCAUGAAUCCAAGCACAACUGACAUUCACUGUUUUAAAAAACAAAAAAGAGAAACAUUUACUACCUUUUUCAGAUCUCAUUUCUGAUGGACCUGAAAAUAUUGUAAGUGGGUAUUUUCUUCAAAUACUCAGAGACUGAAUUCUAACAUGUAAAGAAAAUGCUGACUCACACAUGACUCAGUUUGAAGGUUACAGGGAAGACUAAACAUUUAUUUAGAAGUUACAGUGUUUGUUUUUACAGAGAUAUGUUGCCACGGAUUAUUGAUUCUGGAAGGUUUUUUAAUGCUCAUAGUGCUGUACACAUCUUGGUCUGUUCUCAUGGGCAUCUUAGGAAAAUGUUUCCCGUAGCACCGGAUCCAGCCAUCUGUGUGGGUGUCUCCAGGCUGUGAUACCGUGCCCCUUGCUGUUCCCUCAUGCUCGUGAUGAACCAUGUGCCUGGGAUCCUUCCUCUUGCCAGCUUAUCUGUGGGCCUCCUGCAGCCUCGCCUGCCACUGCAGAGGCCCCAGGUUAGGAGUCUGUCCCGCGCCAGCCUGUGCGGUGCUUUCCUGGGUGACUCCUGUUAGGUGGCAGCUUCUUUAUUUUCCCUCUCCAACCUCAACGGGUAGGACUCCUUAUGUCUCUCCAGAAUUAUAAAACAUAUACAUUUAUUUACAAGUGCAUAAAUAUAUAAAUAUGGCUAUAAUAGAAAAAUAAAUACCAAUUUUCUCUGUC
rnacentral:lncRNA from 1 species